CAUGGGAACCCAUGCCUCUACCUCAUACUUGGCCAUGCUCAUCUCUUCUAUCUGAAGUGGGGGGCCAUAUCCUAGGAAUGAUCCCUUAACCUGAUGCCCCUUCAGGUAGAUGGUUUCAGAAGUGAACCAAAUUGAAAGGACAGAGAAUUGGAGAAUUGUCUGCAGAGAAUUGGAUCAGGAAAAAAACAGAGGAGAUAAUGAAGAGAGGAAAAAGAGGAAGAGAAGUGAGGAAGAAGAUGGAAAAGGCAAAGGGAGCAUACAGCAACAAAGCAAAUGUCUAAAAGUUUAACAAUUAUUCCAGCUGAAGAAUAUAGAGAAGAAAACCAAAAGAAACCAUUAAGAAAGGGAACUAACUUUUGAAAUCAUUGGAUCGUAAUAAAUGCUAAUAUCACUUCCUGGUUGGAUGCCGCUGUCAACCCGGACCUGGGAAAAAGAAAGAGAACACUGAGAGUAGCUUCAUAUUGUGCAACUUUUUAAUCACAAAUUUAAUCUCCACGGACCACGGAGGAAACAGGAAGAAGAAUUUCAAUCUUGAAUAACAUUCCCACAUCUGGAAAAUAGGAAAACAGCCUAAACACACACAGAGACCAAACGAUCCUGAUCCAUCACCACGUAGGUCAACAUACUUCUUGCUCUCCAGUGAAGAAACAGCAAAAAACAAGAAACAAAACCACCGCUAGGCUGCACCCACGACUAUACGAGGGUGCUGCUUCCACGUGCACGACAGCUCGGAGGACGCCCCCUGCCCCCUCGGAGGCACCCACCAGACCCUCCUG